GUGGGCUGUGUCGCAUUCCGUUGCAUAGACUUCCCCUGCUUUCCCUCUUUGUGCCUUUGUGUCUUAGGGGUGGGAGUACUGGCCCCAUAAUGCCUAUCACAGCAUUUGACUCAGGCCGGCUCUGCCUUGACGCCUCCAGGAUUUGAUGAUGCAGGAACAGCUCUCAGUGUUAGUCUUGGCCUGGGAAACUUCCGGGCACGGACCGGGAAGAGCCAGGGGACCCGUGACGAAGAAAGAAAGAAGGAAGGAAAGGACACACUAAGUGAAAUCAUCUUACAGUUCUGGAAGGUCUGAGAACAUCAGGAUUGUCCAGGGACUUUCUUCCUUCGAGGUAGGUGUGUUAAAAAGUAAAGGGCGUCACGCGUUAAUUGUGUGGGCCACGCCGCAAUAAUGCUGAGGGCUGAACUCGAGAGUGAAGGGAAAGCCAAAAUAUUUUGUGAACAUGUCACCAGAGCUGAACUCUGUCCAGAAGCACAUCGGAUCUUGCACUUCAGUGGUGCCAGGCAGAAAAAUACACAGGAGGACACACAAUGGCGAAAUUUAAACAUGAAUAGAGUUGGAUUUUCAUUGUUUGCUCACAAUACCUCUCGGGUUGGAAGGAAGGAAAUAGGCUGUAUUGCCUAAUAACUCGAAAUGCCCCAGAGAAAGGAAAACAGACAGAUUCCUCUUUUGCUUGGUGCACCAGCUCGGGUGGACAACAACACUUCCUGGUGAUAAGUUUGUUAAGGGCUAUUUUGCAGAUCCUGCUCGAAUUCUAAAGCCAUAAACCAUCCAUGCGGUCGACGAGUCUGUCUAGCUGUGAGGGACACGGGGUAUGAUUUACAAUCUCUGCCAAGGAGACAUCUAGAUGGAAACGUUUGCUCAUACGCUGCCCGUGGAAGAGACCCUGGGAAGGAAGCAUGGUGACAAGCUAUCGUUUCUCUGCUUGAUUAGUUACAUAGAAAAAAAAAAUUUUUUUUUUUUUUUUUUUGAGCUUGUAAACGUUAUGUUUGUGCUCUUGGCACAAAUUCGAGUAGGGAUAAAUUUACGUUUUGGCAUUGGGUCAAUGAGAGCAAGAAAACCAGAGCUUUAAGAUAAAGGAGAAUAGAAGUCGUGUAACCUAAAAGAUAAAGGCCAACCGAUCCCAAGAAAGUAAAAUGCCGCCUUCGAAGGCGUCUCCUCCCUGGAUGUGACGACAGGCCAAAACAAGACCAUGUUUAGCUGAUGGGCCACAUUCUCUCUCCCUGACCCAGUUCUUGAUCAUCAUUCACUUUCCACCUGACAGCCACUGUUCCUAGACCAGGAGAAGGAGGCUCAUUUAACCCAUCUGAAUCUGCUUUAUGGGAGUGAGGAAGCUCAGGGGGUCCUUGGUGGGUGAAGGGAAGUUGCAGGACCCAGUGCGGGUGCUCGGGCCAGUCAGGGAGGGGAUGGAGCACGCAUGGCACCCAGGGUGUCUGAAGGGCAGUUUUCCACGCUCGUUUCAGGUACACAGAAUGGUGUGUGGCUAGAAUUGAUCCCAAAUGCUGAAAAGCCAAGAGAGUGGCUGCCAGUUGUGCCUGAAUCAUCCCCAACAAGACAGGUAUAAGGAGGACAGGCAGAGGGACGUGGCGAUGUCUUCGGGAGUGAGUGUGCUGAUCUCCCGCCCUAGUGCAGCUUACGUUCUUGUGUGUCCGAUUUAAUUGCUAUUGUUGUCCGGUCUUAAAUAUGCCUUAAGGUUGAACAACGGCUCAGUGAUUCACCUGUGCAUACCUUCCCAUAUCCUCCUGUCUCCUUUGUGUGUUCACUUGACCCUCCCCACCCCCACUGGAGGAGACCCAGUAGGAUAAGAAUCUAGCUUGGUGUUCAUAAGCUCUUUUUUCUAUUGGUGCCAAUCUUGAAAAACGAGAAUCAGAAACUGCUAGAUGAGAACCCAAUGCCUUAGUGAGGAGAGAUGAGGGAGAGGAGAGGGAAGAGAAGCCAGAUGAAAUAGACACCGCUCAGAUGUCCCCAUUUUUCCAUAUUCGGGAGGGGACCUAUAGUGCAGAGCUGAAAAGGGGUGGUAUCGUGAUUAAAAAAAAAAAAAAGCCAACAGACAAUACCUCCUCUAUGAAAGCAGCUUUGUUCUCAGGUGUAAUUUGAAAAACAAUCAAACAAAUGAAUUUACGAUGGCGUUUUCCCACCUUUAAAGUCGUCUGGAGAGACAGAGAAAGUGCAAGCUGGCCAGCAGAUCGGACUGAGAAGCUCCCAACCACAACCAGAGGCUGUCAUGGUAUUAAAUAAAAAUACAAUGGAGGCCAGAAAAUAUAAUAGGAAAUGUAAUCGCUCACUGCAUCAGAAGGUUACAUAAUAAAUAAACUAAACAGGAAGCGAUUCAGGGCAAUGUCACCAAAGGAUGUCCCUUGAAUGCCGUGUCUUACAAAAAACACAGUCAUACUCUAAAGUUAUGAAGUUUAUCAUUACAAUGAUUUCCUAUAAAGCAGUAGAUAGCUCUGCCCACAUCAUCUCAGGUCUGGCCACCACAAAACUUGUUUACAAGCCAGAGUCCCCAGUCCAUCCCCACGAGCUAGCAAUCCCUUGGCCCCUCUUCAUUUUUCUUAGUUCCAUUCCAAUCGACCAUGAAGGCAGCCAAGGCCGUUGCCCAUGAAACCGAGAGACUGAAUUUUCAAAGCCCCAUGAGUCACCAUCCAUUGUAGAGGCUGUUGGCUGCUCUGCCUGUUGGUUACCAAUUUUCAUCGUGGACCUGCAUCAUUUUCCAGGAGGAUCUCAGAUUGUGGCAAAUGGAAACAGAAUGCUAAACUUACAAUGUUUGGUCUGUGAAAUUGCCACUGUUUUGAUAUUCCGACUAAGCCUUUUGAGAAACAAUUCAGAAAUUUGACAAUCGCGGUAAUGUAAGGGGCGAAAAGUUUAGCUUAAAAAUUUAUUUGUGAUUGGACCUUUUGCGAUAAAUCUAUUUCGUGGCAUUUAAGACUAAUUUCCUCUUAUUUCAACUGAGCUACUCAGCAGGGUCAGGUGUGUGGUGGCACCUGGUACUUGGAAUGACUCUGCUUCUUCACGUGUAGGUUGACUCAAAGACUUUCUCUUCCUUUUUGUGCAUUGGACUUCUCUGUUUACGGCUGUAGCAUCCUAGUAGUCUUUACAUAAGAAAAAAAAAAAGAUUAUGCCUUAUCCUCCCAUACCAAAGCGGUAAAUAUUGCCAUAUGACUUCACAGCAUGUGCAGGUGGUAAAUAACUUUUAAAAAAUAAACACCUCGCAUACAAACCUGUAAAGGCCACCUGAAGCACGGUUCCAAAUAACGGGCAGGUUAAUAAGAUGCUGUCAGCCCAGGAUGGUUUUGCAUUGUGUUCGUGUUGCGAUGGCAAAUUGUGUUCUCAUAGCUGGCUCUCCAUCAGGAAGGACAUUUGUAUGUCAAGAGAUUAGUAUAAUGUCGACCAGUGACACUGCCUUCUUGUGCCUAAGCAUAAUCACAAGCCACACAUAAUUGAACGAUGUAGCCUUUUACUGAACAGGUAUCUUUCUAGAUUGUAUGACCCAAUAAUCUGGUCCAUUAAUAUUUCCCCAGAGCAAUUACUUCCUCGGGCGGUUGUAUUGUUCUGAAAGGCAUUUUGAGCAGCUCUGGACUUCGGCUUCAUGUAAGAAGUGCAGGAGUUAGCACAAUUCGGGAAUGACGUGGAAAGAGACCAAGGAUGGGAUGCAAAGCACAAAAGGACAGGAAGCCAUACAUCAUCACACAAAGUAACAUUAUGACUUGGUGGCCUCAGCAAGGCCUUCCAUAACGCUGUAAGCAGUAGCCAAAAAUAUUGCAAGAGCUCGAACUUAGAAACUGACUGUAAACUUGUCUUGAAUGGCCCCAAGACACCUCCGCCUUUGUUUCUAGAAGUCUUUGUUUUCCUCUGACAGUACUAGGAAACCUACCAUUUUCCUAGUCAAGUAUAUUUCUGUAUGCAUCGUCCCCGUGAUGCCAGCUUAAGCUGACAGCUUGACAACCUGGCUGCAUGAACGAAAGAUUCUCUAUUGACGAUCUUCCUUAUUCUUUUUCUCUGCCUAUUAAAUUGAAUUCAAUUUUAUUGAAUUCUAUUUUUUUUCUGGCUGACCCUGUUCAAGGCUACUCCCUCCAGGAAGUAUCAGAGAGCUGAACUUGGUCUGAGCAACUAUAUCGAAUUUCGUGGUGAGUCGGGAAUAUUCCCUCAGGAUGAGACUUACAGCUCGAGACGGAAUUUAUUAGUAUCAAUCCCGGCCCUUCCUCCAGCGUGCUGUGUGACUUUGGGGUAAGUCGUAACCUUUCUGUUUUUAGUUUCCUGAAAAGUGGAGAUAAAGCCCCAGUGCUUUUCAUCCAUCUACCUUGGAGGAGUUUUGUGAAGGUUAGUUAAUGAAUUGUCAAAACGUCCGCAUGUGGGAUGUAUUAAGGGAUUGUCAAAUAAUGGGUCAAACUGGGCACGAGAGAGCAAAAGGGAGCGAUUGCGUAGUAAUUGCUAAUUGUUCAACAUCUUCAAGUUUCUAGGGCAGCUGUCAGGUGAAGUUCCCAAAUUCGAUUGCUCUGAAAAACAUUCAGACGUCAGGAGAGUUAUUUCUGGUUUCACUUCCUUCUGUAGGAUUCUAUGCGGGAGUCUGUUGGCUCAAUAACUGUCUUUGAACCGAGGUGAAAUUGAAUAAGCGUUGGAGAGGCUUUCAUCCACAAACGUGAGCAUUGGCCAAUCACACCUUUUAGGAUAUAUUCCAUCAGUCAGCAUCCAUGCAAAGGGCAGGAUGAAAUCAGUUUCUCUGGGAGUCCGACUGACUUCUGCCAGGCUACUGCAGGUUGGCAGAAUUCAAGAAGUUGGAAUAAUGAAAGCUACCACGUCUCGACCACUUAAUAUACUCCAGGAACUUCACCCACGUUGUCUUAUUUAUCCACAGAGCGACCCAGUGAGGGAGAAGGAUGGUUUCUGGUCCUGAUUCCUCUCUCACUGUAUAUCCUCGGCAACCAACUUACACACCCCAAGACGGGAAGGAACCAUGGGUAGUGACACGCGUGGUCGUGGCCGUAAGAGGCAUGACCUGGUUCCUGGGGACUCACCCCUGUCAACCACUUUGACCAUAUCAGUGCCAGGCUUUGAGCAGCUGCACUAGCCGAUAAUGGACAUAGAAAACAAUCAAGGCUUAAGUUUAACAUAAGUGACCAAAAUGCCAGCUGGCCUGAUGAUUCCAGAAUCUCACCAUUGGAAUGUAGCAUGGGCUAGCCUGGAUACUUCGGUUUUGAGCAUGUAAAUAUGCGUCCAACUCGCAACAUAAUGGGGGAGGGAGGAGAGUAUGGAAUUAGAAGACGAUCAAAGCAAUUUGUUUUUUCGUUUUUGGACAGUUUGGGUGGAACCGGAAGUAAAGAUUAGGGAAAAGGAAAAGUGUAUGUGUGUGUCGAGGGCAUGUCUUCUUUGCUUAUUUAUUUUGUUCACAUUUGGACAAAUUGGAGGAAAGUACGGACCAGAAAUCUGUCUCCUUUCUAAAAAAAACCAGGGACCGUGAAUGGUUCAUAGUGGCUCUAUGGCCACCGCCCUGACGACCAGGUGGGGGACAUCACCGCAUCUGACUGCCGGGGACGUCUGGCUCCCUAGUGGCCUGCUCAUGCCCACGCAGUGGGUUCACGGCUUCGCUAGAAAUAGAAACCGACUUCUCUGACUUUCUGCUACCCAGACUGCCAUCGACUAAAAGAAUACCUCCUGAGAGUAAGGACGCUUGGUGGUGAAGGUGGGCUGAAAUGGCACCGUGAUCUCCCUCACCCCCCGCCCCGGGGGGCUGGCGGCGCCCCAGCGCGCGGGGUAAGCAGGAAGCUGCGGCCGGGCUGAGUCGCUCAGAGCGACUGGAGCUAAUAGAUUGCGGUCAGGAGGCCGGCGGCAGCAUCUCGGUAGUGAUGGGAACACGCGGAGCAUCGUCAAAACAGCUGCAGAAACAUGCUGAGCUCGGCUCUGCGGGGCCGCUGGGACUCUGCUGGCAGCCGCGGCCCCGCCGGCCCAGCUCCAUCCCUGCAUCCGUCCCUCCCCUCCAUCCCUCCCCGGGGUUGGGCCGCGCGGGGACCCCUGCCCGGCCCCCCCACCUGCUCUCCCCGGCCCCCGACCUGCUCUCACCUGCGGCAGGGCCCACAGGUUCCCCCGCUGAAGUCGCUGCCCCUACUGAGCUCAGACCCAGACAACACAGGCAGCGCCUGUUCCCACCGGUCACUCCGGGGGAGGGGAGGAACGGAGGGCGAUUAAACGAGGGAGUUUUUCGUCUGUUUCUUUGUGUAUAUAAAUAUAUGUAUAUAUAUCUGGUGAAGACGAUCGGCAAAGUUUGAAGGCGGACGAAUUUGAAUUUUGGCAGAGAUAUCUAAAUAUAGUUAAAAUUACUUGGGUCUUUAAAACUUGGGAGGGCCUUAGAUCUUUUAGUCCAAGCUUUUUCCAUUUAUAAGAAAAAGAUGCAAGACUCAGGCCGCAGGGGCCAGAGGAGGACUGAGUUCACAGCCGAGCUCACUGCUGCUGCCAGUGAAUCUUCAGUCAGUGUCCACUGGGCACAUGCUAUGUGCCAGCGUCAUUCUGUGCCGUGUUUACCCAGCACUGCAAACACAGGCGGAAAUCCAUGCCCUCGUCUGGCUGAUCGCAUGCAGACGCUGUUCUAGUCCGUUAUAUCGUUAUAUAUCACGUUUAUCCUAUAAGGCAGGCGAUAUUAUUAUCCUCAUUUAACUGAAGAAGAGGUCGAUGCACAGGACGGAAGGGGCAAAGCCUGGAUUCAAAUUUUGAGAGUCCGACUCUGAACUCACAGCCUGAUCAACUAAUCGGUAUUGGCCUGUGUGUGUGUGUGUGCGUGUGUGUGUGUGUGUGUGCGCGCGUGCGUGUGUGUGUGUGUGCGUGUGUGUGUGUAUUCAGUCUUACAGCUAUAGUCUAAUACAGGCCUCUUUAAACUGACUCAAAACUCUUCAUAUCAUAUGAUAACCACCUCAUGUAUCUUGAAAACAAUAAAAAGCCGUCAUGGAGAAGGGUAGACAUCUGAUAUUCGCCUCCCGUGAGAAUCCCAGCCGGCGGCCGUGUAUUCACUGGGCACAUGUGUCCUAGCUCCCGCUGUCUGCGUAGCGGUUACCGAGCGCUUUGCCACCCUGUCCCUGUGCCUCAGCACAAGCCUCUCCAGUGUAGAGCAUUGCCUCUGCUUCCUCACCCAGCAAAGCCGGGGGCUGUGCCCGGCGUCUCCUGCCCCCAGGGUGGGAGCCCCCUCCCCUGGGAGUAACAGAAGUAAGGAGCGAUGAUUAAUUCACAGGGAGAUGCACUGGCGCUUGGCGGACGGGCAGAGUAUGACUGACCAGGAAGGAGGCUGCCAGGAUUAACCGGGCGGGGACAGUCCGAGGUAUCCAUUCUGCAUACCAGUUAACAGCAUCCUUCCCAGCACUUCUCCUUGUCCCCAUUAAAACUGUACGAAAACACUACGUGCCCAGCUGAAGGGGCAAGAAAACUCAGACGUGCCGUGGGAACUCGGACCGUGGUGCAGCAACGAGAUGAGGCAUUCUCCUCCGCUGCUACCUGCUCCUGCUGCGCUUUUUGCUUCUUUCCUCCACAGAACUGGAGAGUGAGAGAGAAAGAGUGAAUGGGAGCGCGAUUGUGCUUUCCUGCAUUCGGAGAAUCUACGGAAAACGUGGUAGGUAAAUAGUGAGAGCUGUUCCCAUGUCAAAACACUCUAAUGCCAGGAUAUUAGCAGCCAUCAACUUCCUGGCAGCGCACAUGUUAACUUUCUGUGCAGAUCAGUUGUGAUAACUUCUCAGACCCUUUUUCCCUCCCUCCUCGACCCCCUUUCUUUUUUCCUUCCUCCCCUUCUUCUAAUUAACCACCCCCCACUCCAUUUUACAAAAAAAUAAAAACAUUCGAUGGCAUUUCCUUUCCUCCCCCUUCAAAAGAAAAAGAGCUUUAUUAAGUCUCACGGGAAAAAUACAUUCUUAUGACUAUGAGAUUGAAUAAGAGAACACGGUGAGAAAUUUGGAUGGCUUUUUGGACACUGAACUAUUUGUACCUACGAGGCAUGUGUGGGAAAUAGCAAAACGCAAUCACUAAUCGCUCAUCCUAAAAAGGCAAGGGGGAGGGACUCAGGUUGUUCCUCACUGGUGUCAAUGCUCUGCCAGUGAUGUGUGGCCUAUGGCCUGAAUUCGAGUGGCUUCAUUCUGGCCAUGGGAAAGGGGUGUGGUGGGGACAAUGUGACUCCGGUCUCUGACUGGCUGGGCCUGCAUUCCCUGAUUUCUGCAGGGGGUCCCUCAUUGUUGACUUUUAGUGAUAGCACACACGUGUACAAAUACUUCCACCUGUGACCUCACGGCAGCAAAGCAUACCUCUUAGAGAACCAUCGAGAAUACUUGAGAGCAACAAGAGCUGUGGCCUUUGACAUAAAAUAAACAGGACUAAACAAACCUCUCCUUGAGUGGGUGUGACUUCAGAUUUCUCUCUGGAUCUUUCAAACUAACCUGAGCCAAGUUGUCAAAACACGAAUUCCGCACAAGUACCUUCAAAUAGGUUUCACUGUUUUGUUUAUUGUGCUUAACACCAGUACAAGGAAUUUACUUGUGUGCGUGUGUGUGUGUGUGUGUGGUUAAAAAAAAACAACACUUAACAUGAGAUCUGCCCUCUUAAAACAUUUUAAGUGUAUGGUACGGUAUCUUUCACUGCGAGCACAACGCUGCAUAGCAGAUCUCUAGAGCUUUUUUCAUAGUGCAUAUUUGAAAAUUUAUACCACUGGACAGCACCUCCCCAGACCCCUGGCAACACCAUUCCAUUCUCUGCUUCUACGGGUUUGAGUACGUUAGGUGCCUCGUGGAAAAUAGCAUGGCGAUUCCUCAGGAAAUUAAAAACGGAACGGCCGUAGGGUCCAGCAAUCCCACUUGCGGGUACAAGGCAAUGAUCAUCUUUAUGGUUAGCUCUUGGAACCAAGCGUGUCCACUUGCGGUGGAUUCGAAUGACCUCUGGGCAGAGCUGAUGGGUCUGUCUGCACAGGUGAACAGUGAACAGUUUCAUGCUUGGCCUCCAAGAGGUAAGAAUCUCUUUAAAGCAUUCGGUGAGGGGUUUUUUUUUUCCCCCCUCAAAGGAACGAGAAAAUACUGCUUCGCCAUGAACACGUUAAAACUCAGCAAUCACGAGGAAACGAUUGUUACGUGAGGCCUCACUGAGAAAAAAAUCAACUCGAAAUCAAACUUUAUGAUACUUACAGGCCAGUCAACAAUGAUUUCAACGGGCCUUCUAUGGAUUUAUGGGGAUUGUCACCUAAGAAGAUCUCUCUAUAUAUUAAAAAUCACACACGGGAGGUCUGUUUUUAGGGGUGAGCGGCCCUCGGUUUUGAUCACCCACAGAAUGGGCUGUGUAUUCCCAUCCUAAAUCUAUUUCAAAAUAAAAACACC